rnacentral:rRNA from 1 species
CAAAAACAUGGCUUCUUGAUAAUAUUUUUAAGUCUGACCUGCUCACUGAAUAAAUUUAAAGAGCCGCGGUAUUUUGACCGUGCAAAGGUAGCAUAAUCAUUAGUUUCUUAAUUAGAGGCUUGAAUGAAUGGUUUGACGAGAAAUUAACUGUCUCUUAAUAAAUUUUAGAAUUUAACUUUUAAGUUAAAAGGCUUAAAUACUUCUUUAGGACGAGAAGACCCUAUAGAGCUUGAUAUUUAUAAGUUUUAUAUUAUUUUAGGUUAUCUUUUUAUGUAAUUUUUUAUUAUUUGGUUGGGGUGACAUGAAGAAUAAUUAAACUCUUCAUUAUUAAAUCAUUGAUUUAUGUUCAUUUGAUCCAUAAUUUAUGAUCAUAAGAUUAAGUUACCUUAGGGAUAACAGCGUAAUCAUUUUUGAGAGUUCAUAUUGACAAAGUGGAUUGCGACCUCGAUGUUGGAUUAAGAUUAAUUUUAGGUGUAGUAGCUUAAUAAUUAGGUCUGUUCGACCUUUAAAUUCUUACGUGAUCUGAGUC